rnacentral:rRNA from 1 species
CCUACGGGUGACAGCAGUGAGGAAUAUUGGUCAAUGGACGAGAGUCUGAACCAGCCAAGUAGCGUGAAGGAUGACUGCCCUAUGGGUUGUAAACUUCUUUUAUAAAGGAAUAAAACGAGGCACGUGUGCCUUUUUGUAUGUACUUUAUGAAUAAGGAUCGGCUAACUCCGUGCCAGCAGCCGCGGUAAUACGGAGGAUCCGAGCGUUAUCCGGAUUUAUUGGGUUUAAAGGGAGCGUAGAUGGGUUGUUAAGUCAGUUGUGAAAGUUUGCGGCUCAACCGUAAAAUUGCAAUUGAUACUGGCAGUCUUGAGUACAGUUGAGGUAGGCGGAAUUCGUGGUGUAGCGGUGAAAUGCUUAGAUAUCACGAAGAACCCCGAUUGCGAAGGCAGCUUACUAAACUGUGACUGACAUUGAUGCUCGAAAGUGUGGGUAUCAAACAGGAUUAGAUACCCGAGUAGUC